rnacentral:rRNA from 1 species
GACGAACGCUGGCGGCGUGCUUAACACAUGCAAGUCGAACGGUAAGGCCCUUCGGGGUACACGAGUGGCGAACGGGUGAGUAACACGUGGGUGAUCUGCCCUGCACUUCGGGAUAAGCCUGGGAAACUGGGUCUAAUACCGGAUAGGACUCCGGACUGCAUGGUCUGGGGUGGAAAGCUUUUGCGGGGUGGGAUGGGCCCGCGGCCUAUCAGCUUGUUGGUGGGGUGAUGGCCUACCAAGGCGACGACGGGUAGCCGGCCUGAGAGGGUGACCGGCCACACUGGGACUGAGAUACGGCCCAGACUCCUACGGGAGGCAGCAGUGGGGAAUACUGCACAAUGGGCGCAAGCCUGAUGCAGCGACGCCGCGUGAGGGAUGACGGCCUUCGGGUUGUAAACCUCUUUCAGCAUCGACGAAGCGAAAGUGACGGUAGGUGCAGAAGAAGGACCGGCCAACUACGUGCCAGCAGCCGCCGUAA